rnacentral:lncRNA from 1 species
GGUCAUGGAGCCUUUAAGCAUAAAAAAUAGAGAUGAUUAAGAUUAAUAAAGACGAAGAAGAAGAAUUAAUCUUAUCUAUACCAUACCCCUUAAUUUCAAAACGAUAUGUAUAAAACUAUGUAAAGAAAGAAAAUUUAAGUGUUUAACUGAGUGGUGGGCCGAAGAAAUAUAGAAGACAAGUCGUCGGUGGCAAUGAUCUUUCCACCAACCGGCAAUGGUUCAUAUGGCUCUACUAUAUGACCGGAGAAAUGUCGUUUCUGCUGGAAAUGAUACGAAACUAUAGCCAUAUUUUAUUUUUAUGAUAUCUAAAAUCGUAUUUUAUAAACCAAGUGAUUGUAUAAGAACUAUUGGUAAUUUGUAUAUUGAUACUUUGCUAUA